AGCGAACGCUGGCGGCAUGCCUAACACAUGCAAGUCGAACGAACCCUUCGGGGUUAGUGGCGCACGGGUGCGUAACGCGUGGGAAUCUGCCCUUGGCUUCGGAAUAACAGUUAGAAAUGACUGCUAAUACCGGAUGAUGUCUUCGGACCAAAGAUUUAUCGGCCAGGGAUGAGCCCGCGUAGGAUUAGGUAGUUGGUGGGGUAAAGGCCUACCAAGCCGACGAUCCUUAGCUGGUCUGAGAGGAUGAUCAGCCACACUGGGACUGAGACACGGCCUAGACUCCUACGGGAGGCAGCAGUGGGGAUUAUUGGAGAAUGGGCGCAAGCCUGAUCCAGCAAUGACGCGUGAGUGAUGAAGGCCCUAGGGUCGUAAAGCUCUUUUACCCGGGAUGAUAAUGACAGUACCGGGAGAAUAAGCUCCGGCUAACUCCGUGCCAGCAGCCGCCGUAA
rnacentral:rRNA from 1 species